GGGACCGUGGUCUAGUUUGGUAUGACGCCUGCUUGGGGUGCAGGUGGCCCCGUGUUCAAAUCACGGCGGUCCCA
rnacentral:tRNA from 1 species